rnacentral:rRNA from 1 species
CUCAGCCGCCGCGGUAAUACGGGGGAUGCAAGCGUUAUCCGGAAUGAUUGGGCGUAAAGAGUCCGUAGGUAGUCAUCCAAGUCUGCUGUUAAAGAGCGAGGCUUAACCUCGUAAAGGCAGUGGAAACUGGAAGACUAGAGUGUAGUAGGGGCAGAGGGAAUUCCUGGUGUAGCGGUGAAAUGCGUAGNAGAUCANGNGAANGAANCACCGGUGGCGAAGGCCGCUCUGCUGGGCUAUAACUGACACUGAGGGACGAAAGCUAGGGGAGCGAAUGGGAUUAGAUACCCCAGUAGUCCUAGCGGUAAACGAUGGAAACUAGGUGUGGCCGKGUAUCGACCCGGGCCGUGCCGAAGCAAACGCGUUAAGUUUCCCGCCUGGGGAGUACGCCACGCAAGUGUGAAACUCAAAGGAAUUGGCGGGGGAGCACACAA